rnacentral:tRNA from 1 species
GGCCCCGUAGCUCAGCAGGAUAGAGCGACUGAUUCCUAAUCAGUAGGCCAGAGGUUCGAAUCCUCUCGGGGUCACCA